UACGUAGGGGGGCAAGCGUUUGUCCGGAUUUAUUGGGCGUAAAGAGCGUGUAGGCGGCCUGACAGGUCUGCUGUGAAAACUCGAGGCUCAACCUCGAGAUGUCGGCGGAAACCAUCUGGCUAGAGUCCGGAAGAGGAGAGUGGAAUUCCUGGUGUAGCGGUGAAAUGCGCAGAUAUCAGGAAGAACACCCGUGGCGAAGGCGGCUCUCUGGGACGGUACUGACGCUGAGACGCGAAAGCGUGGGGAGCGAACAGG
rnacentral:rRNA from 1 species